GAAGGGCCCGGCUGGCACCGGCGGCAGCUGCUAACGGAGCGCUGAGCGGAGCCCGCGGCUGGCGGGGCCGAAAUGCUGCACUUUUAUGUACCAUAACUUUUGUAGCAAUGUUGCUGUACAGUUUUGUCAGAUGUAAUCGCUUUGGAAACACUUUCAAAAGUAAUACAAAAUGCUAUGGGAGCAAUCUCAUCUGCUUUUGGAAAUAACACUGGAACUGGACUGCAGGGAAAACAUUACUUCACUCUGUGGCCAGCAUGUAAUUUUCUGCACCAGAAGACAAGAAAGAAAAAGCAGUUGUUAACAAAUAAGCCAUGCCUGUUGCAGCUGAUGGAACUGUGGGGGACCUGCCUGUGAGACAUACAGGUCUAACUCCAGCUGGAAUUGAAGGAUUACAAGAAUCAUCAACUGCACAGAAUAUAAAAGCUCAACAAGCUAGGUAACAAAUCAGUCAAGAAGAACUGGAGGACAGAUUUCUUUAUGAUGGUCACAUCUUACUCAAGCAACGUGCAAAUGAGCAAGAAAAGAAAACUAAAAGUUACAGGACAGAGUAAACAAUCCAGAAAAAGAGAAUGAACUCAUGAAGAAAAACUAUGAUAAGCUGUGUAAGUGUCUUCUGUAUGACCCAUGAACAGCAAUGGAAAUCAAAGGAACAGCAAAUGAAACUGCAAAUUGCUAAACUAGAGAUGGCUAUCAAAUCUGAUUUAGCAGACAAAAAUAUAAUCCUUGACAAGAUCAAAGUAGAAAGAGAUACCAUAAGUGCAUUCUCUUGCUCUAAUAGCAGUUUCCUGAUAGCAGCCGUUACCUGUACCUGAAGUUGAAAAAUGUGGAUAAAAAUUACAUCACUUGGUUUUAUUAAGUCAAGAAUUGCAUCAGAUAAAACAAUACAGCAGCUGAGUCUAGACUGGAGAGGAAACAAUUUCCCUGCAGAGGACACUCCACUGUCACUUCCAAACCCAGCAGGAGUCGAGGGAGUGACUGCAACUAUAGCACUGGCGAGUGCAGUGCUCAGUGGUACCUCAGAAGAUGAGCAGGAACUUGAAUGGGGAGAUACUGAUUUUGCUGAAUCUGUUUGAAAAAUAUAUUCCACAAGCAAAGAAAUGCCACUGAACAAGACAUUGAGGAGUUAAUUCCAGCCCUGAUACUUUCAUUGAUGUACAUUCUAGUUCUCAGAGUGCUCAGUUUCCAGGAGGCUGAGUACCUGAAAAUUUUUGAUUCACAAGACGACAGUGCAGUAAUUGGAAGGCUCAAAGGAGCAGUGGAAGCCUCCGUGCGCUGCCCUCAGUCGAGAGGGGAAUGCAAAGAUGACUACGAGGCAUGAAAGGAAGUUUGCCUACAGAAGAUCCUUCUCCCAGUGUAAAUACAUGCUUGAUAGUGCAUCAAAGAUGAGAUCUUUGUAAUUCCUACAGUAUAUUUAAUGUAUAAUUUAUACGAAAAGGACGCUUGAUUUGUAGUUGUAAAGUUUUGUAUACUUUUCAGUCUGUUUGUUUUUGUAUUUCCCCCCUAAGGCUAAGAAUAUCUCCACAAUGGACAACGUCUUGUAAAUAAUUAAUACCUACAUGAUUGAACGAUGUGCUUUAUUUGCAUUUUUAAGAUUUUUUUUCCUACAUAAAACAGUAAUAAAAAUGCAAGUCAAAUUUUAAUUUUUAAUAAAAAAACCAUAAGCCUUAGAAAACUGAUUAAAAAUACUUUUAUGUUAUCCCUAAUCACCCCACUAAAUGGAAUGCCUGUGAUUAGCCUCAUUAAGAAUUUUAUACUGUGAAGAUUUUAUUAAAAGCAAUAUAUGAAAAUUACUUGGAUUAAUGUGUUAAUCUGCCUCUUUAAAAUGCUAAUAUCCAUUUUAUGCACAUUAAAUCUCAGUAUGUGUUUUCUUUGAUGCAUGCAGUUCCUAUCAAUUAAAUAUAAAAAAUUAGGCUAGUUGCAGGACUUAUUAAAUUACUGCAACCUUUUUUUAAAUAACUUUUACCCCUCUCCUAACAUAAUCAGCUGUUUAUGGUUACCAUAAUUUGAAGUAGGGGGAGGGCAGGCACAAUCACUUUCUGUACUGUAGAUGAUUUACUUGCAGCCAGCAUCUGUCAAAGCACAAAAAGAAGCCAUAGAGUAUCAGAUUUUGCUUCACCUACUUUGGGCUUUAGGGAUGGGCAAGUGUUUUCAUUUGGGUUUUGUCACUUUUAGAACUUACAUCAAACAUAUACAAUAAAUUGUUGUAUCUGAAUAGCUACUGCCUAGUGUGGAAAGUUAAUUUUACAGCUUUUAACCAAUCUCAGUGAAGGAUUUAAUUGAUAUUUUUAAUGGAGCUGUGAAUCAAUGCUGCAAAAGGAUUGUCUCUUGAGAACGAAGAUAUAAUACAUUUCAUUUUUUAAUUUACUUUUUUAUUUGUCAUUUUCUUCAAAGGAUUUUAUAGACUGUGGAUUUCCACUGUUUGCAAACAGGCUAUGUUUCUUCAUAAGCAUAUGUAAAGUAUUCAGAGAGAUAAGUAAUUUAUUAAAAUCUACCUAAUUUGCCGUGAUAUAUUAAAUCUCUGCUUCAGUGAUCACAGACCAUUUCAUUUACAGAAUUAGGCAUUCCCUCUUUGUGUGAUUAAAGCUCUGGAAAAUGAGUUCUUUGCUCCUAUUUGUGAACAUUCAAAGCCUGCUAAUGGCAAGAAGAUGGAAUAGAUUAUGAGACAAUUCAUUACAGUUCAACAGAAAAAAAAACCCUGCUAUAAUGCAGAAAUGCAAGUAUGAAUAUCUGCAUAUAGUUUGAACCAUCUGUGCUCUAAUGGCUUCAGUAAUGGCUCUUCGUCUUCAGUAGGCUUUGAAAUGACAUCUAUACAAUAUUAAUUUGUUGAUGUACAUUAUGAGGCCAAUGGAAUGAAUAUAUUCUGACCACAGAAAUCUCUGAAUUCCAGCAUGGUCUGCUGGUUGACUCCAUUUUAGGACCUACCAUCUUCAGCAGUACCUCUCAUCCAGACUUUGCCAAUCCUCACAGCGUUGCAUUCCUCUGGAACUUUAGGAGACCACAGACAGCUGCAUUCCUAAACUCCUCCAUUCUCCAGUUAAUGGCCAUAUGUUUGUUGUCAUUUGGGCUGGCACUUAGUUCAUCAUUUUGGCCACUAUUUCUAGCUUUCUUUGGCUCUGUGCAUCUAUAUUGUCAAUAAGACUGUUAUUAUACAUUACAAUAAUUUGAAACAGCCAGAUUCGACACUGAGAUUAACUGAGUGGCUUUUUAGAAAUUUAGUUGUGGUAUUCUGUCAGGAGGUUCUUAUUAUUCUUCUAAUACUUUGCAAACCAAACUAAAUACCCUGCACAUAAACAAAGAAGCGAACUGUAUUGAGUUUUUGUGUGUGACUGUUUACUGACUUGCAGGAGAACUAUGUUAACUGGUGCUUGUUUUCUUCUGAAAUAAACCAUGUGGUAAAAUUAGAAAAUCAGUGAUGUUCAUCUCACUUAAACAUUUACAGUAACACCCUUAACACUUAAUCUUCGCCAUCUGAAGUUGGAAACUCAGAAACCAAGCGUUCAUAUAUUCAUUAAACACAGAUCUCUUCGGUAAGUUACUGCAAAAUAUUCCAGUUAACAUUUGGUUACAUUGUGUUAACUGCUCUCAGUGACUCCAACAUUAACAUGUAUAAUGUGCCUCAGGUUCCUAGACAUAUUUCUUCAUAAGGCUCACUGUUACUAAGUUUCGGAUUUUAAAAACAUAAUCCUGAUUUCUAUUCAUGUUUAUUGCUAAAACAGAUAUAAUACUCAGCAAGGAUUUUCCCAACAGAUGGAUUGUAUUAUCUUAUGCAACAUAAACAUGUGAUCAUACCAGAAAGUUCUGUUCUUGCAUUAAGUAGUCUGUAUUUCCAAAAUGCUCUUAAAUCUUAAUUCUAAAUGCUACAUUGUGCAGGGAGAGUGGAAAAUGUAACCUGGUACUAUUUUGUCUAGAUUUUAGCAGUGAAUAGCUUGAAGAAAACUUGCAGCUAUGUAAUCUCUAGGCUAAGGUACAAAGGAGCCAUAUUAAAGCAGGGUACUACCAUGCUUUAAAAUAUUACUCAGUUAACAUUCACUUUUGUGGAAGAGAUGAAUAUUUAUUAUGGCAUAACUUAGUCACCACAGUGGUUCUGCAUAAGAUGAAAUGACAGUGUCAAAUGAUCAGUUUUUACAUCUUUUCCCAUUUAUUGUUACAACUUGUGGCUUUAUUAUGGUAUCUUCUGGUGUGAUAUGAUAACUGCUGUUCUCCAGGUUCCCAGGAAUGUUGAUCAAGAUGGAAAUAUUUUUAGCUCAGACUUUAUCUGUUUCAAAUGUUGCUUUUAACCUUUUAUAACCUUGAGCUAGGAACAGAAGUUUUAAAAGUAAAUACAUCAUGAACCAGGUAAGAGGUCUGUGAAGUCAAUCAAUCUUGCUGUGGAGUAAGUCAAAGCUUAUCUCAUUAUAUAAAAGUAGAUAUAGCAUGACUAUGACUUGUUUCAUAAAUCAAUAUUCAAAUUAAUAGUAAUAUUGUUUUAAAAUGCUUUUUAUUAUUUCAAGGCAGUGAGACACUGUCAUAGUUCAAGAGGUCUCCAAACAUACCAAGACUAAAUACCAGCUGCUAUAUUUAAUUUUCUUGUUUUGUGUUGUAACUGAGAAAUAAAUUAAAAUACAGGUUUAAAUUGUGCUACAAAUCAUAUUUCAGAGUCGGAAAAGUAUUA